GAGGUGGGCAACGCCCACAGUUGUGUCGUCGUCCGGUCGGCCAAGUUCGAUUCUUUCUGGCUAAUUAAAGACGACAAUAAGAUUAUACCAUUAGAUAGCAUAUCAUUGAGGACGGCGCCAUUUUGUUUCCGUGACCCGUCCUGGAGCGUAUGCUUUGUACACAGCCCUGAGCUAGCCGCCAACAGAAGGGGACCGGGGAGGCCAACAAACGCCCAAAACAACCGUCUACACCACCAGAAUGAAGAAAACGCUAAUAAGGAAAUAAAGAUGUUAGGAUCUGCCUCGGCGCUGACUACUUGCCAAGUGUGGCCAGAGAUCCAGUUCCUAAACAAUCUACUACUUGGCGGCCAUCCCAGAAAGGCUGACUCCGUCCUACUUGUUAAAACGCCUUGAUCACGCAGAAGGUUAUACGAGUAAGUCCACAUUGUAAACUUAAUUGUGUUAUAGUUGCCGCGAAAAGUACAACAUCAUAAAAAUGUUUUAUACCUUCAAUCGGGACACGCGACGCUCUACUCUCAGGUCGUUUUACAAAACAGAUCUAUUUUCUGUUUAGGACUAGUAUUUGUAACCGUUGAUUUUGAUGAACUAUUUCUUUUAUGUGGUAGAUCUGUAAAAUUUCUGUACCUACGGCAUGCCCACUAGCCUUUUUUCAACACGCCGCAAGUUGUAUUUUUAGAUACCUUGCUUCUAGAAUCGACUUCCACGUUUGUCAAAAACUGUGGUCAACAUUUAUCUGUUGAAAUAAAUCCUCUAAACUUCA